rnacentral:rRNA from 1 species
UGGGGAAUAUUGCACAAUGGGGGAAACCCUGAUGCAGCGACGCCGCGUGAGUGAAGAAGUAUUUCGGUACGUAAAGCUCUAUCAGCAGGGAAGAAAUAAAGUCCUUCGGACUUUGGACGGUACCUGACUAAGAAGCCACGGCUAACUACGUGCCAGCAGCCGCGGUAAUACGUAGGGGGCAAGCGUUAUCCGGAUUUACUGGGUGUAAAGGGAGCGUAGACGGCUGUGCAAGUCUGAAGUGAAAGCCCAGGGCUCAACCCUGGGACUGCUUUGGAAACUGUGGAGCUAGAGUGCUGGAGAGGUAAGUGGAAUUCCUAGUGUAGCGGUGAAAUGCGUAGAUAUUAGGAGGAACACCAGUGGCGAAGGCGGCUUACUGGACAGUAACUGACGUUGAGGCUCGAAAGCGUGGGGAGCAAACAGG